CCCGCAGUAGCUCAGCCUGGUAGAGCUUCCGGCUGUAGACCGGAUUGUCGUCGGCUCAAAUCCGACCUGCGGGACCA
rnacentral:tRNA from 1 species